GACGAACGCUGGCGGCGUGCUUAACACAUGCAAGUCGAACGGAAAGGCCCUGCUUUUGUGGGGUGCUCGAGUGGCGAACGGGUGAGUAACACGUGAGUAACCUGCCCUUGACUUUGGGAUAACUUCGGGAAACUGGGGCUAAUACCGGAUAGGAGCUCCUGCUGCAUGGUGGGGGUUGGAAAGUUUCGGCGGUUGGGGAUGGACUCGCGGCUUAUCAGCUUGUUGGUGGGGUAGUGGCUUACCAAGGCUUUGACGGGUAGCCGGCCUGAGAGGGUGACCGGCCACAUUGGGACUGAGAUACGGCCCAGACUCCUACGGGAGGCAGCAGUGGGGAAUAUUGCACAAUGGGCGGAAGCCUGAUGCAGCAACGCCGCGUGCGGGAUGACGGCCUUCGGGUUGUAAACCGCUUUCGCCUGUGACGAAGCGUGAGUGACGGUAAUGGGUAAAGAAGCACCGGCUAACUACGUGCCAGCAGCCGCGGUGAUACGUAGGGUGCGAGCGUUGUCCGGAUUUAUUGGGCGUAAAGGGCUCGUAGGUGGUUGAUCGCGUCGGAAGUGUAAUCUAGGGGCUUAACCCUGAGCGUGCUUUCGAUACGGGUUGACUUGAGGAAGGUAGGGGAGAAUGGAAUUCCUGGUGGAGCGGUGGAAUGCGCAGAUAUCAGGAGGAACACCAGUGGCGAAGGCGGUUCUCUGGGCCUUUCCUGACGCUGAGGAGCGAAAGCGUGGGGAGCGAACAGGCUUAGAUACCCUGGUAGUCCACGCUGUAAACGGUGGGUACUAGGUGUGGGGUCCAUUCCACGGGUUCCGUGCCGUAGCUAACGCUUUAAGUACCCCGCCUGGGGAGUACGGCCGCAAGGCUAAAACUCAAAGGAAUUGACGGGGCCCCGCACAAGCGGCGGAGCAUGCGGAUUAAUUCGAUGCAACGCGUAGAACCUUACCUGGGUUUGACAUGGAUCGGGAGUGCUCAGAGAUGGGUGUGCCUCUUUUGGGGUCGGUUCACAGGUGGUGCAUGGCUGUCGUCAGCUCGUGUCGUGAGAUGUUGGGUUAAGUCCCGCAACGAGCGCAACCCUUGUUCACUGUUGCCAGCACGUUAUGGUGGGGACUCAGUGGAGACCGCCGGGGUCAACUCGGAGGAAGGUGGGGAUGACGUCAAGUCAUCAUGCCCCUUAUGUCCAGGGCUUCACGCGUGCUACAAUGGCUGGUACAGAGAGUGGCGAGCCUGUGAGGGUGAGCGAAUCUCGGAAAGCCGGUCUCAGUUCGGAUUGGGGUCUGCAACUCGACCUCAUGAAGUCGGAGUCGCUAGUAAUCGCAGAUCAGCAACGCUGCGGUGAGUACGUUCCCGGG
rnacentral:rRNA from 1 species